rnacentral:misc_RNA from 1 species
AAGUCGUAACAAGGUUUCCGUAGGUGAACCUGCGGAAGGAUCAUCGUUGUGAUAUCUUUGAUACCUGUGGGUUUUUUUCCAGAUCCCAACCAAAAGGAGAGAGGCGUUGACUGAGGUUUGUUUUGGAGAGAGAAAAAAGGACAAAACUUUCAACAACGGAUCUCUUGGCUCUCA